rnacentral:rRNA from 1 species
CAGGUCAGCAUACUGCCGUGAAUACGUUCCCGGGCCCUUGUACACACCGCCCGUCACACCAUGAGAGUUGGAAAUACCCGAAGCCUGUGAGCUAACAGUAAUGAGGCAGCAGUCGAAGGUAGAGCCAAUGAUUGGGGUGAAGUCGUAACAAGGUACC